UACGUAGGGGGCCAGCGUUGCUCGGAAUUACUGGGCGUAAAGGGUUCGUAGGCGGUGUGGCAAGUCGGAAGUGAAAUCUCUAGGCUCAACCUGGAGGCUGCUCCCGAAACUGCCAUGCUAGAGUGCGGGAGAGGCGAGUGGAAUUACAGGUGUAGCGGUGAAAUGCGUAGAUAUCUGUAGGAACACCCGUGGCGAAGGCGGCUCGCUGGACCGCAACUGACGCUGAGGCGCGAAAGCCAGGGGAGCAAACGGG
rnacentral:rRNA from 1 species